rnacentral:misc_RNA from 1 species
AACGUAGGGGCCAAGCGUUAUCCGGAAUUACUGGGCGUAAAGCGCGUGCAGGCGGCUCUGAAAGUCGGACGUGAAAGCUCCCGGCCCAACUGGGAGAGGUCGUUCGAAACUUCAGAGCUAGAGGAUGGCAGAGGCGAGUGGAAUUCCCGGUGUAGUGGUGAAAUGCGUAGAUAUCGGGAGGAACACCAGUGGCGAAGGCGACUCGCUGGGCCACCCCUGACGCUCAGACGCGAAAGCUAGGGGAGAGAACGGG